GGAUUCUCCUAGUGGAUUUGGACUAGAAAAGGCACCCUAGAGAAAAGCGGGGGUUGAGAAAAGUGGGAGAGCUAGUUUGAAAGCAGAGAGAUUUUAUUGUGACCAUAAGUAUGACUCUAAGUCCCGUACUGUGGUACAUCGUACCUAUGAGUUUCAGAAUAAGGCAGUAAGACCUAUAGCCAGUAAGGUAAGCCCAAGAUCUAGUAAUAGUAGACUUCCCCGGAUAGUAGACUUCGGGAGGCAAACUAUAGACUUAAAGGAGCAAGCAGGAAUCCGUAUCAGUAGCUAAAGAACCCAAGUAGAUAUGUGAGUUUGAAAUCGACGUAGUUGUAGGACUUAUAGUUAAGAGCGCCAGGCUAUGACAAAGAAGUGGUGGGCUCAUGCGGUGGAGUAAGGAUCGAAGCAAGGGGAUAGCGGUUGAGGCAUAGGAAAUAAAGACGGAGUUCCUAGCUAGGUUCUUCUCACUAGUAGGUUGAUUCCCGAGUUCGACUCUUUGUAUUAGUCGUUUGGUUCUUACUUCAGAGCAGCUGUCCAGUUGGGUAGUAGUUCAUUCCCAGUUAGUUAAGUAAGCUUUAAGCAUUUGCCUACAGCCAUCUAAAGCAGCCCUUGCUUCAAGCUUUUAAGCCGGUACCGCCCUACUGCUAUUAUGUUAUUUCAACCUACGCUCCACAAACAACUAGCCUGCCUUUUUCUCCUAUGAAACUGAAAAUACUACCAGUGAGCCUGCCUCCUAAACAGUGAUAUGCUACCAACGAGAAUUGAGCUAGAAGAAUAGUACGUACGGGCGAGAAGGGGACUGAGACGUCGCCCAAGAAAUAAUAAUGAAAUGUCAGAAAGUCAGAAAACCUACCUAGUGGAGGUACACCUCGGCUAAGUCAACAAAUACAAAUACUAAUAUAUACCAAUAUAAGACUCGAAAAACCACUUAAUCAGAACAAAAACAGAGCUAAAGAACUUUAUUCAUCAAUAGGAAAUCAAAUACUACCUACGAGCCCAACACUCCUUGACCUAAAUCUGACUUAAUGACAUCUAAAUCUGGUUUUCGAGUUAAUGUACAGUAAUGCGGACUUGAAUGAUUUAAUCCCUUGCUUUGAAACUGCAUCCCCACUAGCAUACCCUCAAACAGGACAUAGAGUCACUAAGUUACCUGAGAAACUGGAAGAAUCGUUUGGCACCUACGCAGCCCUUAUCCAGCUAUGAACUUGAAACUGAAAACUCCAACUUGAAGAAUCGUUUGGCACCCGUAAAUUACCCAUCGCUCAAUUACCCAUCGC
rnacentral:lncRNA from 1 species